GCAGCGACACUGUGUGUUGUUGGGUAGGGGAGCGUUCUGUAAGCCUGUGAAGGUGUGUCGUGAGGCAUGCUGGAGGUAUCAGAAGUGCGAAUGCUGACAUAAGUAACGAUAAAGCGGGUGAAAAGCCCGCUCGCCGGAAGACCAAGGGUUCCUGUCCAACGUUAAUCGGGGCAGGGUGAGUCGACCCCUAAGGCGAGGCCGAAAGGCGUAGUCGAUGGGAAACGGGUUAAUAUUCCCGUACUUGGUGUUACUGCGAAGGGGGGACGGAGAAGGCUAUGUUGGCCGGGCGACGGUUGUCCCGGUUUAAGCGUGUAGGUGUGUGUUCCAGGUAAAUCCGGUUCACUUUAACACUGAGGCGUGACGACGAGGCACUACGGUGCUGAAGCAACAAAUGCCCUGCUUCCAGGAAAAGCCUCUAAGCAUCAGGUAACAUCAAAUCGUACCCCAAACCGACACAGGUGGUCAGGUAGAGAAUACCAAGGCGCUUGAGAGAACUCGGGUGAAGGAACUAGGCAAAAUGGUGCCGUAACUUCGGGAGAAGGCACGCUGACACGUAGGUGAAGUGAUUUACUCAUGGAGCUGAAGUCAGUCGAAGAUACCAGCUGGCUGCAACUGUUUAUUAAAAACACAGCACUGUGCAAACACGAAAGUGGACGUAUACGGUGUGACGCCUGCCCGGUGCCGGAAGGUUAAUUGAUGGGGUCAGCGCAAGCGAAGCUCCUGAUCGAAGCCCCGGUAAACGGCGGCCGUAACUAUAACGGUCCUAAGGUAGCGAAAUUCCUUGUCGGGUAAGUUCCGACCUGCACGAAUGGCGUAAUGAUGGCCAGGCUGUCUCCACCCGAGACUCAGUGAAAUUGAACUCGCUGUGAAGAUGCAGUGUACCCGCGGCAAGACGGAAAGACCCCGUGAACCUUUACUAUAGCUUGACACUGAACAUUGAGCCUUGAUGUGUAGGAUAGGUGGGAGGCUUUGAAGUGUGGACGC
rnacentral:rRNA from 1 species